UACGUAGGGGGCAAGCGUUGUCCGGAUUUAUUGGGCGUAAAGAGCGUGUAGGCGGCCAGACAGGUCCGUUGUGAAAACUCGAGGCUCAACCUCGAGACGCCGAUGGAAACCGUCUGGCUAGAGUCCGGAAGAGGAGAGUGGGAAUUCCUGGUGUAGCGGUGAAAUGCGCAGAUAUCAGGAAGAACACCAGUGGCGAAGGCGACUUACUGGACACAUAUUGACGCUGAGGUGCGAAAGCGUGGGGAGCAAACAGG
rnacentral:rRNA from 1 species